GCUGCUGAAGCUCCACCCAGCCCCGGGACCUCUCCCAGAUCUUCAGUAGUCCUGAUCCCCUCCCGGGCGAGAGCCCGGUCAGGGGAGCCAGCGGCGGCAGCUGGUGGGCCGGCGCGCCGCUUGAGAUUCUCUCCGGGGGCCCCCAGGUGUUGUGGGUGCUGGGCGGGGCCUCUCCGAUAAUGGCAGGGAAAGACUCUGCCUGCGGCCAGGACUGAACUCUAGAGUUUCUCCCCCGGGCCGUGUAGCCAAUCGCUGGAGCUCCACUCAGCCCCAGACCUCUCCCAGGAGAUCUCCGGUAGUCUCGAUCCCCUCCUGGACGAAAACCAGGUCAGGGGAGCCGGCGGCGGCAGCUGGUGGGCCAGCGCGCCGCUUGGGAUUCUCUCCGGGGGGCCCCCAGGCUUUGUGGAUGCUGGACGGGACCUCUCUGCUAAUGGCAGAGUACAGGACACGACUCCAGUGUUGGUGUUGCAGACUUGGUCCAUUUUCACAUCAUAAAACUUCUUAUGGUUGCGGAAGCGCGUUUCCUCUCCCAGGACCAAGCCUGUGGAACUGGGGCAGAGACACAGCUCACUGGUGGACCUCUUGCUGCACUCAGACGCGUUCUGUCUACCCCUGUGUCUAAGGCUUUGUCCAUGGGUCUGACUUAACUUACUGGGUCCCUCUCCCCUUAAAAUGGGCUCCUUCAAUAAACAGACCUCUCUUGGCCUCAACAGUACUCAAUAAUACACACCCACAUUUUACUCUCGGCUGAGACCCCAGUAGAUCCCAUGUUAAAAUGUAUUUAUAUGGUGUAUGCAUG
rnacentral:lncRNA from 1 species